UACGUAGGGUGCGAGCGUUGUCCGGAAUUAUUGGGCGUAAAGAGCUCGUAGGCGGCUUGUCGCGUCGGAUGUGAAAGCCCGGGGCUUAACUCCGGGUCUGCAUUCGAUACGGGCAGGCUAGAGUUCGGUAGGGGAGAUCGGAAUUCCUGGUGUAGCGGUGAAAUGCGUAGAUAUCGGGAGGAACACCAGUGGCGAAGGCGAUCAUCUGGGGUUGUUCUGACACUGAGGAGCGAAAGCUAGGGGAGCAAACGGG
rnacentral:rRNA from 1 species